rnacentral:rRNA from 1 species
UACGAAGGGGGCUAGCGUUGCUCGGAAUCACUGGGCGUAAAGCGCACGUAGGCGGCUUUCUAAGUCAGGGGUGAAAUCCUGGAGCUCAACUCCAGAACUGCCUUUGAUACUGGAGAGCUCGAGUCCGGGAGAGGUGAGUGGAACUCCGAGUGUAGAGGUGAAAUUCGUAGAUAUUCGCAAGAACACCAGUGGCGAAGGCGGCUCACUGGCCCGAUACUGACGCUGAGGCACGAAAGCGUGGGGAGCAAACAGG